CCCAAAUCCAGAAAGUUCUACAAUCGGUGAUAAACCCUAUAUAAACCGGAUUAUCAUGUAAUACAUUUUGUCCCACCCGUGACCGCCGUGCUUGCACUUCACAUCAUAUUCAUCUCUCUUAUAUAUCUUACCACGAUCCAUUGUUAUCAUGAAUUUAAUUAUUCUUCUGUAAAUUAAAAGCAAAGAAGUUAUCAGGAAGCACACUGAAGAUGAAGAAAAUAUUUGUGACGCGGCGUCGAUAAUUUCAGAAGAAUGCUUAAAAAGGGAAAAUAGAGCGAACAAGCGCGUUGAACGAUGUGACAGGUAAGAUAUAUAGAAGAAAAAAGUGAAGAUGCGGCGAGUUACAGGUGGGAUGGAUUACAAAUAAUGAUAUUUGUAAUCGACAAGGGAUAACAUCCCCUAGCAUUUGACAAAACCCCGCAGAAAUUUUAUUUUUAUUUUGUUUGACAAAUUCAAUAAAAUCUGAAAGAUUUAUUUGGGUCCGUUGUGUUGUGGAACUUAUUCAGUCAACUAUUGUACUUCCAUCAACGAUUUGAUAUGCAAUAAGCAAUUUCUUGCUUA